rnacentral:piRNA from 1 species
UGCACCAGUUGUUCAAGUGCCUGCGACAUUUU